rnacentral:lncRNA from 1 species
CAAAAGAUACAACUAUGAUACAUAAUCUAAAUUAUCAUAACCUUAUUUAAAAAGGAAAAAUCAUCAUUCAUAAACAAGAGAUCAAUAGAUAUUUAUCACUUGCUUUUGAAGCUCUUAUACUUUCUUUUUUUUCUUUACAUCCCUUGAAUUUUUACUUGAUACUUGGGGUAUUUAUUUUUUUCUUGAGAUGUUAUGUCUUU